rnacentral:lncRNA from 1 species
UUUGAGAAAUCUCGUCUCGACCAAGAGCUGAAGCUGAUCGGCGAGUAUGGGCUCAGGAACAAACGUGAGGUCUGGAGGGUCAAAUUUACCCUGGCCAAGAUCCGCAAGGCCGCCCGGGAACUGCUGACGCUUGAUGAGAAGGACCCACGGCGUCUGUUCGAAGGGUCCGCAAGCAGGUGGUGAACAUCCCGUCCUUCAUUGUCCGCCUGGAUUCCCAGAAGCACAUCGACUUCUC